rnacentral:rRNA from 1 species
UGGGGAAUAUUGGACAAUGGGCGCAAGCCUGAUCCAGCCACGCCGCGUGAGUGAUGAAGGCCUUCGGGUCGUAAAGCUCUGUGGGGAGGGACGAACCGCUGCACGUUCAUAGCGUGCAGCAUGACGGUACCUCCUUAGCAAGCACCGGCUAACUUCGUGCCAGCAGCCGCGGUAAUACGAAGGGUGCAAACGUUGCUCGGAAUUAUUGGGCGUAAAGCGCACGUAGGCGGCGAAGCAAGUCGGGUGUGAAAGCCCUGGGCUCAACCCAGGAAGUGCAUUCGAAACUAUUUCGCUUGAAGCUCGGAGGGGGUCAGAGAAUUCCCGGUGUAGAGGUGAAAUGCGUAGAUAUCGGGAGGAACAUCAGUGGCGAAGGCGGCCACCUGGACCGGUAUUGACGCUGAGGUGCGAAAGCGUGGGGAGCAAACA